rnacentral:rRNA from 1 species
UACGGAGGGGGCGAGCGUUAUUCGGAAUUAUUGGGCGUAAAGGGCGCGUAGGCGGCUGAACAAGUCAAAGGUGAAAUCCCUCGGCUCAACUGAGGAACUGCCUUUGAAACUGUUCGGCUUGAGGCCGGGAGGGGGUAGCGGAAUUCCCAGUGUAGCGGUGAAAUGCGUAGAUAUUGGGAGGAACACCAGUGGCGAAGGCGACUCUCUGGGCUGUAACUGACGCUGAGGCGCGAAAGCGUGGGGAGCAAACAGG